UACGGGGGGAGCAAGCGUUGUUCGGAUUUACUGGGCGUAAAGGGCGCGUAGGCGGUCAGCACAAGUCAGUUGUGAAAUCUCCGGGCUUAACUCGGAAAGGUCAACUGAUACUGUGCGACUAGAGCACGGAAGGGGCAACUGGAAUUCUCGGUGUAGCGGUGAAAUGCGUAGAUAUCGAGAGGAACACCUGCGGCGAAGGCGGGUUGCUGGGCCGGCACUGACGCUGAUGCGCGAAAGCCGGGGGAGCGAACGGG
rnacentral:rRNA from 1 species